CAACACUGAACCUCUAAUAAGAAACUGCACAUUUUAUCUAUUGCUGUAGAUGAGAGCACGUUUUCCAGCUAACUGCAUGCUUUGGUAUUUCGUUUAAUAAGUUAUAAUGAAAAUUUCGGACGGUCGUAUAAUUUUGAAACCAGGCUUUUCCACAGAUGAAGUUUGCGUUCCAGGUUGCGACUGUCAAAGUAUAGACCACAUCGGAACAUGCAUGAAAUGAUUGGACUUUGACAAUGGAAAAAUGAGAAACGAUAGACCCAUAUUUAUUAUAUA